UCCAGCGGCCUCUGCUCAGCAGGGCCCGCGACCGGCCGCUCCCGAGCCCGGGGCCUCUGCCAAAGCCUCCCGGCGCUAAGAGCUCGGGUGCCCAGCGACCGGGGGGACCAGUCGAAUAGAGCCGUUAGGGCAGGAAGGGUCCUGGAGAAUCAGCUGGAAAUUUUGUGGACAAACGAACCCCGAUUGUCCCCCGUUUCUGUGCUGCUCUGCCCCGGAGGAAGCUGGAGGCUGCUCGCGCAGGUGAACAUAAAGGCUGGAAGAAUGGACCUCAAAAUGCUAACCAUAUGUAUCCCUGGAUUAUAGCAUCACACGCCUCACAGUGUUUUAAAUAUCUCCGAAUCUGUGGAACACACUUCAAAGGAGCAGGACCCUUACAGCGUGCCAAACACGGGGAGCACCGGACAAAUCAGCAGCGAGCACCGAGCAGUUGGGGCUGCCUCAUUUUUCCAGAGGCUGUCAGGGGAAAUUUUACUACCGAGCUGCUUUCAUCUCUUUCCUGGUUUGAAGAUAAAUGAUCCUUGGUCUCCUCUAGACCUGCAUAAAUCACAAAGCAAUCUGCUAAGAGAUGCCUGUGGCAAGCAGCUUCAACUAGAAUCAAAAGGACAGUCAGAAAUAUCCAUGCUGCUUGCACAGGGAGUACCCGAGGCCCAGGCUGUCAUCCAAACGCCGCGUCCCCUUUUCUUACACAUACAGAGCAGGGCAGCGGGGAAGGGUUAAGAGCCAGAGGGCCAGCCUGCAGACCACGGUGCAGGGCUGAGCUCCCAUCUUGCAGCAGAGAUGGGCCCGCUGAUGGCCUAGUCACCCAGGAUCGUAUCAUCGAGCGGGAAACAGGCACCUGUUAAGUCCAACUGCCACGUCGUGCAUCAAGGCCUUGAGAAUGAACUGCUUUGUCCAAAGGUUGCAGUGAACAGGACUCAGCCACGGUCCCCUGCCUUUGUUCAUUGCUUCCAGUCGGGUGCAAGGCCGCCCUAUUGACACAACAAGAAGGUCCCUACAGGAACCCCUGUGUGAACGCAGCGCCCCAGCCCUGAAGUCCUUCCUGGCCUCCUUGCCUCUGUGGUGAGGUCACCUUUCCUGGAAAUCCCUUUCUUUCAGUAAACCCUCGGGCCUGCGUGUGGCAAUGCGAUCAGCAAGCCAAAACAAAUGAUUACGGGCUAAGUAGGAUAAGGGCGAUCUUUGAUUGAGCUCCUUCAAAACCACACUCAAACCUAGAAUGUCGUUUUCUUAUAUUUCAAGAACAGGGGACCCCAGUGUUGUUCCAUAUUUACCCUGUUCCUCUGUUUUCUCUAUUGCCUUCUGUAUCUGCGUGUGUGUUUAAUUAUUCAUUCCCUUCCUCUGCCUAGAAGAACCAAAAUGUUCCUAAUAAAUUGUUUCAAGGCAGCUAAAAUUUGACCUAAAACAGGAAGUGCUCACUGUUUCACGGUAAGGAAAUCAAUUCUCAAGAAGACAAUCAUAACAUACCAAGAGGUUUUAUUAAAGUACGAAUGAGCAUCUGAAUUACAGUUUAUCUACAAACCUAUCACUCCAGCUAACCAGAAAAAAACUGAUAAAGUUUAUCAAAGUCAUCUUUACAAAAACCUGAAAAAUCGCCUGGCGUCUGCUCAAUCAGUUGGCUUUACCCUACAGAUGUCUGUAGCUUUGUUUUUACUCAUCAGCAGAUCAAAAAUAUAUUGUUUUUAGGCUCUGUCCCUUUUUAACAGAAAAAAAAAUGAAAGCCAGGUGAACAAGAUUUUUAGGAUUUUAAAAAUCCAGCAUAUAAAUCCAGUUUAUAACUUUCUGCUUCCACUAAUG